rnacentral:rRNA from 1 species
AUGUGUCCCACUGGAACCUCGCUGCAUCUGAGUCCUUCACAGUCGACUCGAUGUACCGUGCGCUCACGCAUUCAGAGGUCCCAAUGGAUAAUAACAAGAAAAAUCUGGAGGUUAAAGAUUCCACUGAAAGUUAAGAUCUUCAUGUGGUACCUUCGGUAGGGAGUGUUGCUAACCAAAGAUAACCUCACCCGUCGCAACUGGAAUGGAAGCAAGAAGUGUGGCUUUUGUACUCAUGACGAGACAAUCAAACACCACUUUUUCUAGUGCAAGUUUGCAUGUUCUACGUGGGCAAUCAUCCAAAUAAUGUCUAAUCUUUAUCCGCCCACAUGUGUUGCCAAUAUUUUCGGUCACUGGCUGGACGGUAUUCCUUAUAGAUUCAAAUCGCUAAUAAGGAUGGGAGCGUAUGCCUUGUUAUGGUAG